GGGGGCGUUUUGGAUUCGACGGGAGUUGGAUGGGUAAGAGUAGCGAGUCCGGGACCAUGGCCCGGUAAAAACAUGGAAGGCAUAUAACUGCCAACGACAAUUACGCUCUCGCUGCUUAAUUUAAAGCAGCGUGUCCGCCGGUUCCGAGCCUGUAGGAACCGUCCGGGCAUCGACUAGUCAGGCUACCGACUCCACGGUUGGCACAGCCAAAGGAGAAGGGAAUCACAACUGUGCUAGCGCAAGCGGAUCCCGUCCCAAGGAGCCGCCUGCGUGAAACAAAAAUUGGGACUACGCUCGUAGAAGCUUUUACUGGUCUGCUUUCGGACAGGGGUUCGACUCCCCUCGCCUCCACCA
rnacentral:tmRNA from 1 species